CUGCUUAACACAAGUUGAGUAGGGAAAGUUUUUCGGUGUAGGAUGAGACUAUAUAGUAUCAGCUAGUUGGUAAGGUAAUGGCUUACCAAGGCUAUGACGCUUAACUGGUCUGAGAGGAUGAUCAGUCACACUGGAACUGAGACACGGUCCAGACUCCUACGGGAGGCAGCAGUAGGGAAUAUUGCGCAAUGGGGGAAACCCUGACGCAGCAACGCCGCGUGGAGGAUGACACUUCUCGGAGCGUAAACUCCUUUUCUUAGGGAAGAAUUCUGACGGUACCUAAGGAA
rnacentral:rRNA from 1 species